rnacentral:lncRNA from 1 species
CAUAACAAGAGUGCACAAGCUGAAAUGUCUCGCCUUCUAUACUAAUCAUUGAUAUUAUGUUGAUAGUCCUAGGUAUAAAGCUAAGCUUUAUUACAACUGUCACAUAAACUUAACAUUAACCAAGAUAACUAAACAAAGACCAAUGAACCUUGAAAAUGAGGUCAAGGUCAGAUGAAACAUGCCAGGCAGACAUGUACAGCUAACAAUGCUUCUAUACAACAUAUAUAGUUGACCCAUUACUUAAAGUUUAAGAAAAAUAGACCAAAACACAAAAACUUAACACUGUGCAAUGAACCGUGAAAAUGAGGUCAGGGUUAAAUAAAACCUGCGUGACUGACAUAAAGAUCAUAAUAUAUUUCCAUACACCAAAUAUAGUUGACCUAUGGCAUAUAGUAUUAGAUAAAAAGCCCAAAACUAAAAAACUUAACUUUGACCACUGAACCAUGAAAAUGAGGUCAGGGUCACAUGACAUCUGCCCGCUAGAUAUGUACACCUUACAAUCAUUCCAUACAACAAAUAUAGUAGACCUAUUGCAUAUAGUAUGAGAAAAACAGACCAAAACACAAAAAAUUAACUAUAACCACUGAACCAUGAAAAUGAGGUCAAGGUCAGAUGACACCUGCCAGUUAGACAUGUACACCUUACAGUCCUUCCAUACACCGAAUAUACUAGCCCUAUUGCUUAUAGUAUCUGAGAUAUGGACUUGACCACCAAAACUUAACCUUGUUCACUGAUCCACGAAAUGAGGUCGAGGUCAAGUGAAAACUGUCGGACAGACAUGAGGACCUUGCAAGGUACGCACAUAUCAAAU